rnacentral:lncRNA from 1 species
UUGUGUUGUGAUAUCUUCCCGUGAGUCCUUGGGUUUGAUCGUACGCAUUUGCGUGUAUGAUUAGCGUACGAUUAAAUCGAGGGCGUCACAGCUGAAAAGGACGCCAAGAAGAGAAAAGCAUCCUCAGCAGUAGAAGAAACAGAGGCAAAGCGCCUCAAAGAAAGUGAAGAAACUGCUCCCCUGGACCCGGUGCCUCUCAAUAUCGCCCCUUCCUAUGAGAUGGUCGUCAUUGAUGACCCAGCUAAGAAGGCAGAUGAGGAAAUGAAGGAUGUCGCCCUCAGGAACACACUGAUGAGGAAAUUCAGAUUGACGACAGUCCUCAACCUCUUAUUCCUCAGACAGAAACUGCUCAAGCAUCAGCUGCACCAGCUGAUGAAACUGCUUCUGCCACAAAGCCAGCAUAGGAAAAACAAGCUGAAAAUCCUCAUGCUGACGAAAUUCAACACUC